rnacentral:lncRNA from 1 species
GGAAAUCAAAUUUCACACCCCUCAUACCAUUAUAACAGAAAGUCCCCAGUUUAUUGACUCAAAAUUAGGGUUCUUCCUCUCAUGGAACGUCAAAAGCACAAUUUAGUGGCUACUGCAAGAUGUGAAGGCGAAGGACCUUGCAUAGGGAGACUGAUAGAGAGACUCAGCCAUCUUCCUGACCACAUCGCCCAUCGCAUUGUUUCGUUCCUUUCUAUGCAUGACCUUGCUCGACUGAGUUAUGUGUCUAAAUGUUGCAGAGAAC